CUGCUCUCGCUUCAGUAGCACCUGUACUAAAACUGGAACAAUACAGAGAAGGGCGUGGCCCCUGUGCAAGGGUGACACACACAUUUGUGAAGCACUCCAUAUUUUU
rnacentral:snRNA from 1 species